AUUGAACGCUGGCGGAAUGCUUUACACAUGCAAGUCGAACGGUAGAGGGGGCAACCCCUCGAGAGUGGCGAACGGGUGAGUAAUAUAUCGGAACGUGCCCAGUCGUGGGGGAUAACGUAGCGAAAGUUACGCUAAUACCGCAUACGAUCUAAGGAUGAAAGCGGGGGAUCGCAAGACCUCGCGCGAUUGGAGCGGCCGAUAUCAGAUUAGGUAGUUGGUGGGGUAAAGGCUCACCAAGCCAACGAUCUGUAGCUGGUCUGAGAGGACGACCAGCCACACUGGAACUGAGACACGGUCCAGACUCCUACGGGAGGCAGCAGUGGGGAAUUUUGGACAAUGGACGCAAGUCUGAUCCAGCCAUUCCGCGUGCAGGAUGAAGGCCCUCGGGUUGUAAACUGCUUUUGUACGGAACGAAAAGGUUUCUCUUAAUACGGGGGGCUCAUGACGGUACCGUAAGAAUAAGCACCGGCUAACUACGUGCCAGCCGCUGCAGUAA
rnacentral:rRNA from 1 species